rnacentral:rRNA from 1 species
GAUGAACGCUGGCGGCGUGCCUAAUACAUGCGAGUCGAGCGAACAGACGAGGAGCUUGCUCCUCUGAUGUUAGCGGCGGACGGGUGAGUAACACGUGGAUAACCUACCUAUAAGACUGGGAUAACUUCGGGAAACCGGAGCUAAUACCGGAUAACAUGUUGAACCGCAUGGUUCAACAGUGAAAGACGGUCUUGCUGUCACUUAUAGAUGGAUCCGCGCCGCAUUAGCUAGUUGGUAAGGUAACGGCUUACCAAGGCAACGAUGCGUAGCCGACCUGAGAGGGUGAUCGGCCACACUGGAACUGAGACACGGUCCAGACUCCUACGGGAGGCAGCAGUAGGGAAUCUUCCGCAAUGGGCGAAAGCCUGACGGAGCAACGCCGCGUGAGUGAAGAAGGUCUUCGGAUCGUAAAACUCUGUUAUUAGGGAAGAACAAAUGUGUAAGUAACUAUGCACGUCUUGACGGUACCUAAUCAGAAAGCCACGGCUAACUACGUG